GAUGAAGAACGUAGCGAAAUGCGAUACUUGGUGUGAAUUGCAGAAUCCCGUGAACCAUCGAGUCUUUGAACGCAAGUUGCGCCUCAAGCCAUUAGGUUGAGGGCACGUCUGCCUGGGCGUCACAUAUCGUUGCCUGAUGCCAGUUUCCUCGUGAUGGGUGACUGUGCAGGGCGAAUGAUGGCUUCCCGUGAGCAUUGUUGCCUCAUGGUUGGUUGAAAAUUGAGUCCUUGGUAGGGAGCGCCGUGAUAGAUGGUGGUUGAGUGACGAACGAGACCCAAUCAUGUGAGACCCCUACCGAAUUUGGCCUUCAUGACCCACAUGCGUCUUUGGAACGCUCAUGACGAGACCUCAGGUCAGGCGGGGCUACCCGCUGAGUUUAAGCAUAUCAUAAGCGGAGGA
rnacentral:misc_RNA from 1 species